rnacentral:rRNA from 1 species
AGUCGAGGGGAAACGAUAUUGGAAGCUUGCUUCCGAUAGGCGUCGACCGGCGCACGGGUGAGUAACGCGUAUCCAACCUGCCCAUCACUUGGGAAUAACCUUGCGAAAGUAAGACUAAUGCCCAAUGACAUUUAUAGAAGGCAUCGGAAAUGAAUUAAAGAUUUAUCGGUGAUGGAUGGGGAUGCGUCUGAUUAGCUUGUUGGCGGGGUAACGGCCCACCAAGGCGACGAUCAGUAGGGGUUCUGAGAGGAAGGUCCCCCACAUCGGAACUGAGACACGGUCCAAACUCCUACGGGAGGCAGCAGUGAGGAAUAUUGGUCAAUGGGCGAGAGCCUGAACCAGCCAAGUAGCGUGCAGGAUGACGGCCCUAUGGGUUGUAAACUGCUUUUAUAGGGGAAUAAAGUGAGCCACGUGUGGUUUUUUGCAUGUACCCUAUGAAUAAGGACCGGCUAAUUCCGUGCCAGCAGCCGCGGUAAUACGGAAGGUCCGGGCGUUAUCCGGAUUUAUUGGGUUUAAAGGGAGCGUAGGCCGGAGAUUAAGCGUGUUGUGAAAUGUAGAUGCUCAACAUCUGAACUGCAGCGCGAACUGGUUUCCUUGAGUACGCAUAAAGUGGGCGGAAUUCGUGGUGUAGCGGUGAAAUGCUUAGAUAUCACGAAGAACUCCGAUUGCGAAGGCAGCUCAUUGGGGCGCAACUGACGCUGAAGCUCGAAAGCGCGGGUAUCGAACAGGAUUAGAUACCCUGGUAGUCCGCGCGGUAAACGAUGGAUGCCCGCUGUUGGGCCAACUGGUUCAGCGGCCAAGCGAAAGCACUAAGCAUCCCACCUGGGGAGUACGCC